rnacentral:misc_RNA from 1 species
GUGUAUUUAAAAGUGAUUAGACAGGUUGUUUGUCACGGUCGGUGUUGAUGGUUAACACUCGGUACGAGGUCUUACCCCCGCACUCAAGUUUGUCAUACUCGCUGUGCGGGCUGACGCCCACACAUCUCGGAAAUGAUCCUUCCGCAGGUUCACCUACGGAAA